UAACUUAUCCUGAGAUGGUUUCAUUUAUGUUAAACGGCCUUGAUAUGGACUACAACCCUGUUGUGUCAUCUAUUAUGGGUAGCAUUGAUCCUAUCAAUCUAAGUGACCUGUAUGCUCAACUUUUGGCGUAUGAGU